rnacentral:tRNA from 1 species
GGGGAUUUAGUUCAGUGGUAGAGCGCUUGCCUAGCAAGCGCAAGGCCCUGGGUUCAGUUCCCAGCUCCA